rnacentral:lncRNA from 1 species
CUGGACAUUGUUAGAGAAGCCAUUUGACAUAACUACUGGAGAGUAUGACACUACUGGACCUCUGAGAGGUAGCAGUUUGCCGAAGAUGACAGUGAAUUAUAUAGCAAGGUGGCUGAUAUCAUCGGAAGGAGGACCAACCAAAGCAAAGAUGAAACUGUGAGAGCAACCACGGAGCAAGAAAUAAGUGGAAAGGUUUAUGCUGUCUGUGGAUAUGGAUAGCAUAUGUAUAUGACUUUGCAAAAGCAGUUUGCUGAAAGAGGACAUCAUUAGAGAGUGAGGUAAUUGCACUUGUUCUGAGUGUUGAAGUGGUGGGAAAUAUGUAGUUGAU